GCCCGCGGUAUCCUAACCGUGCAAAGGUAGCAUAAUCACUUGUCCUCUAAAUAAGGACUGGUAUGAACGGUCCCAUGAGGAUUACAUUGUCUCUCAUAAUAAGUCUGCGAACCUGAUCUUCCAGUACAAAAGCUGGACUAUGCACACAAGACGAGAAGACCCUGUGGAGCUUAAAACGUACUAUCAACCAACAUGAUACAUUGUUUUCAGUUGGGGCGACUUCGGAGACAAAUAUAACCUCCGCAAACAAACUAAGACAGACAUGUCUACCAACACACCACCUUGACCCAAUAAAAUUGAUCAAUGAACCAAGUUACCCCAGGGAUAACAGCGCAAUCUCCUUCUAGAGUCCCUAUCGUCAAGGAGGUUUACGACCUCGAUGUUGGAUCCGGAUAUCCCAAUAGUGCAGCCGCUAUUAAUGGUUCGUUUGUUCAACGAUUAAUUAUCCUACGUGAUCUUGAACCCAUAUACCACAUCCCUAUUAAUCUCUUCCCUCGC
rnacentral:rRNA from 1 species